GUUAUGCCAACACCACUACAAAUUGUUCGAUGGCAUUGCUAUUAAUGAUUCGGUUUAAAGCUGUUGCUGCUGCUGCUGCUGCGAGUUAGAAAGAAGUUGGAGUCACGCCUAACCUUGUGGGUUUCGACUAACUGAGUGACAGGCUCGGAGACUCAGUUUGAAGCCGCGGGCGAUUAGGAGUUUUAUUUAAGUUAAGUUUAUGUGUCGAGUUAUUUUCAUAGAAUUCCUUCGCCUUUGUUAUUUAAGAUUUUAUUUUAUACCGAGGGAUAGGAAUUGUAUCUGAAUUUCUUUUGAAUUUUUUUGUAUAAUAUUUAUCAUUAUUACUAAUUAAGUGAUUACUAUUACCUGUGUGUUCUUUGAUGAAUGAUUUUGAUUAAUGAAAAACAAUAUUUUCCGGCAUUUUCUUAAAAA